rnacentral:tRNA from 1 species
GCUCUUGUAGCAUAGUGGUUAAUGCGCCGUACUUAUAUGCAGUAUAAGGCCCAUGAGUCAUGCGGAUAUCGGCGGUUCGAACCCGCCCUCGAGCA